UACGUAGGGUGCAAGCGUUAAUCGGAAUUACUGGGCGUAAAGCGUGCGCAGGCGGUUGUGCAAGACAGAUGUGAAAUCCCCGGGCUUAACCUGGGAAUUGCAUUUGUGACUGCACGGCUAGAGUGUGUCAGAGGGGGAUAGAAUUCCACGUGUAGCAGUGAAAUGCGUAGAUAUGUGGAGGAAUACCGAUGGCGAAGGCAGCCCCCCUGGGAUAACACUGACGCUCAUGCACGAAAGCGUGGGGAGCAAACAGG
rnacentral:rRNA from 1 species